GUCGUCUUGCCUACAUCUAAGUCACCUCGCCAACAUCUUUGGUCACCUUGCGUACAUCUUCGGUCAACUCUAACUUUUUGUGACAAUUCAUUGGCGUCUUUGAUCAACUAGCCUUCACCUUAAGUAAACUCGCAUCUACUUUUUAACCAGCCUAUCUUAAUGACUUGUUAUGUUUCUUUUGAUGUAAAUAGUCUCUUAGGAAACAGCUAACGUCAGGGUCCAUUUCAACACACCGCACCGAUGACGCCUCAGUAAAAUCUUCGGAAGAGCAACCAUAUUUCAAUUUUUUUCAGAAAAAAAUAGAAUAAAAUAACUGUAAGUAGCAAAUAAACAACGACAAAUUUGACGUUUACUUGACUUACUGUAGUUCCUUCCCUCUGGAAAGACUCUACAAUGUUAGAUCAUUAAAAUUUGAAAAACUAACAAAUAAUGGUAAAACAAUCUCUCACUUACACACUGCGCCAAAUUCAUCAUCUUAACUAAUACUGUGAAGAAGAUGAGUUGACCCGAACGUAGGUGCGUUGACACGUCGGUGAAGUGACGGUUUACCUGAUGAGGGACUCUUUCACUGGCUUGAUUAAAGUUUCAGACGGUCUUCUUCAAUAAGCUGAAAAUAAAAGUGUUUGGUAGACCCAAAUUUGAUGAGAGUUUUAGAACGUCGUGUUUGGGAAGCUGAUGAUGAUUUAACUGUAAAAUUAGACCCAGCCGGAGAGCUCUUUGGCCUCUGUUCUACCUCUUGAAGCGACGGAGUUUUAGUUUUUGUUUAUUUGUUUUGAAAUCACGGCCUUUUAUAAUUGUUUUUGUCGCUCUUGCAACCAUAAUAAGGAUCAGCAUGAAAAAUUUCUUACCUCUUAAGUUAAAAUUUAUUAGAAUUGCAAGCAUGACUAAGAUCGGUCCCAUAUAAGUUUGUACUAGUCGGCCUAAGUGAUUUGUUCAUUGCUUGACAUCAUAAACAUGAUUGUUGUUUUGUUUGUUUCAUUUAGAAAUGAUCGUGACUCCAAUACAAAGUAAGUGAAAUCGCGCACAAGUUGUAAUUCCAAGCACCUGGCAAAUCCUCUUUUUUCUUACUAGUGAACCCAGAUGCCUGCAGAAAACUCAGCCGUUGGCUAUCAGUGUGUUGCUAGAUGUCUUGGCUGCAACCGAGUUAACUUUUGAAGCCAUCCUUUCCUUCAGAUAAAUUCUCGAUCAGCGCUGCGUUAGUCAACGAUGAAAGGAACUUUCGAUGGACACCAUUAACAUAACGUGCCACAGUUAAUCAACAAAGCUUCCCUGAAAACUGAUAACGGGACAUACUCGCUGAUAGUGGCUUAUCCUGUAAACUAUCGUUUUAAAAAAACUGUGUAAAUAGUUCAAGCUUAAAUUCUAUAGCGAAGAUAUCUGCAUCGAAAAAAAGAAACAUUAUUUUUACAAGAAACAACGGUGUAACUUCGCUCACUCAAACUAUAAGGGGAAUGUUUUCUUUUUAAUACUAGAAGGAUCAGUCA